AUGGAGGAAGUCUUGCUGCCCCUGGCUGUGACAUCUGACCCCAGGCCCUUUAAUCAACAACUCCCAGAGCCUCCAGACCCAAGAUGUGUUUUGGAACCCCAGGACAAUCCUGAACUGGCACUUGCCCUGGUGUGUGCCCUUUGCUGCUGCUUUGGAAUCAUCUACUGCUGCUUCAGCUACUGCUGCUUCAAGACAGUGACGUUUCUCUCCGGUCAGCUGUCAGGAGCGCUGGUGAGCUUCCUACUGUGCCACAAGGUGCGGGUGCUGGAGACACAGCUGAGCCUGGAAAUGAGAGUGGGCAUCGCCGUGGUCAUCAUGACUCCUCUGCGGCGUGGUCACCAUGUUGGUUCACUGUGUUGGGCUCUUAUUGACUGGUCUCCUGCUAGGCCUGACCUUGGGUGCCGGAGCCCUGCUGGCUUCUGAGCCUAUCUACCAACCACCUUCAGCCUGGGUGCCAGCUGGGGGCUGGUGGGGCUGGCGCUGCUGGGAGCCCUGCUCACACUUCGGUGGCCACGUCCAUUCACAGUGCUGGGCACAACCCUACUGGGUUCUGCAGUGCUUGUGGCCUGUGUUGACUACUUCCUGGAGGGGCUGGCACUGGGGAGUUGGCUGGGCCAACGCCUGCAGACACUUCCAGCCUUGCCUUCUCUCUGCUGAUAUAGCUGGGUCUUACUGGGGAUCUGGCCAGCCUUGGGGGCCCUUGGAGCCCUGGCCCAGUGGAAGCUCGUGCCUGAGGAACAUGGAGGCCACGCUAAUGAGUUACUUCCAGAGUCUUCAAGAGUGCCAACUGGGACCAGGACCCCAGACCACAGCCCCCCACACCGUCCUGGACCUGGAUUCUGACUGUGGUUCCACUGUACCCCUCACCUUAAUCUCUGGUUCUAACCAGACCUGA
rnacentral:sRNA from 1 species